rnacentral:sRNA from 1 species
AGGGCAGGGGGGUGUCCGCGGAUCCCACGCGCGGUUCCUGUCCUCCUCGCGGUCGCGCAUCCCCGCGCGGUCGCUGGUUGUCGCUCGGGGGUGAUCGCCG